rnacentral:rRNA from 1 species
UGGGGAAUUUUGGACAAUGGGCGAAAGCCUGAUCCAGCAAUGCCGCGUGUGUGAAGAAGGCCUUCGGGUUGUAAAGCACUUUUGUCCGGAAAGAAAUCCUUGGCUCUAAUACAGUCGGGGGAUGACGGUACCGGAAUAAUAAGCACCGGCUAACUACGUGCCAGCAGCCGCGGUAAUACGUAGGGUGCAAGCGUUAAUCGGAAUUACUGGGCGUAAAGCGUGCGCAGGCGGUUUGCUAAGACCGAUGUGAAAUCCCCGGGCUCAACCUGGGAACUGCAUUGGUGACUGGCAGGCUAGAGUAUGGCAGAGGGGGGUAGAAUUCCACGUGUAGCAGUGAAAUGCGUAGAGAUGUGGAGGAAUACCGAUGGCGAAGGCAGCCCCCUGGGCCAAUACUGACGCUCAUGCACGAAAGCGUGGGGGAGCAAACAGGAUUAGAUACCCUGGUAGUCCACGCCCUAAACGAUGUCAACUAGUUGUUGGGGAUUCAUUUCCUUAGUAACGUAGCUAACGCGUGAAGUUGACCGCCUGGGGAGUACGGUCGCAAGAUUAAAACUCAAAUGAAUUGACGGGGUCAUAGCUGUUUCCU